rnacentral:rRNA from 1 species
AUAUCAAUAAGCGGAGGAAAAGAAACCAACAGGGAUUGCCUCAGUAACGGCGAGUGAAGCGGCAACAGCUCAAAUUUGAAAUCUGGCUCUUUCGGGCCCGAGUUGUAAUUUGUAGAGGAUGCUUCGGCGUCGGCUCCGGUCUAAGUUCCUUGGAACAGGACGUCGUAGAGGGUGAGAAUCCCGUAUGUGAUCAGGUUGCCUUAUGCCUAUGUGAAGCUCCUUCGAUGAGUCGAGUUGUUUGGGAAUGCAGCUCUAAAAUGGGUGGUAAAUUUCAUUCUAAAGCUAAAUACUGGCCAGAGACCGAUAGCGCACAAGUAGAGUGAUCGAAAGAUGAAAAGCACUUUGGAAAGAGAGUGCAAACAGUAC